rnacentral:rRNA from 1 species
GGUUCAUGACUGGGGUGAAGUCGUAACAAGGUAGCCGUAUCGGAAGGUGCGGCUGGAUCACCUCCUUU